CAGCAGACGUGGAAUAGGAGUCAAAGAACAUUCGCUAACAGCGGAGAGAGUUCAGUAGAUGAGAACUGCAAUCCUAAUAGAUUAAGUUUAUCAAUGAGGGUCAGUAAUCCACCGCCAGCAUAUAAUGCGACACGAGAAGAUGUGCUCAGAAGACAAAUAGAUCGUCCACAUCCAGACUCGCCGGAUGCCAAAAAGCCAGCAUUAUAACUGUACCAAUACCUAUCGUGUAUUAUUAUUUUAAAUAGAUCAAUAUUUUGUUACCCCUGUAUGAAUAAAUUUUAUUAAUUUUAGGUUUAUAAGAAGCUCUGGAACUCCCCUGUGAUCUUUGUGUAUGUAAGAUUUUUUGUAAAGUGCUAGAUAAAUUGUAAAUAAACAUUCCAUUGCUGUAGAGUUGUACAAAUAAAGUUAGUGUAAGUGAAACAUAUUGCUUUAUGUCAUAUGAUUUGUGUAUAUGAAGUAUGUCGAUGUAAAUAUCGUAUAUCGGUGAAGUUAAUUUCCUAGUAUUUUAUUUACUUCGUAAUAAUACGUUAGAAUACGAAAUAGUUCCAAAAAGUCGCCUUUUACCUGUGCAUCUUUUUAAAAUUUUUGAUUAUAACCGAUGUUUUGAGCAUUAAAAAAAAAUAUCUAUCUACUUCUAUAUUUCCAGCCUAUAAGGUGAUGCAUGAUAGUUUUAUUUAGUUAUUUCUUUUCUUACUUUUCCUCUUGUAGUUUAUAAAAGUACAUUUGCAAAUGUGUAUUAUUUAUAAAAUAUUGCGCGUAAUAAAUACCAUCCCUAAGCAUUUAAGUAAUUUUUUGUACUGUCGAUAAAUUUACGAAUCCGUCCAAAUUCGAGUCUUGGAUAAGAAAACUUGUACAAAAUAAUUUUAGAUGUAACUAUGUAAAAAUUAAAACAGGAUGUCUAUCGUAGUUGGAUUAUGUAGUAUUAAUUUAUGAACAUUAUAUUGUUGAUCGAGUUUUGAAAAGUAAAGAUAUUACAACCAAAAA